UAAAUCUACUUUUUUUCCCGUCCACUAUAUGAGGUAAAUAUUUGCUGAUAGGAGUAGGGGAAAAAAGACACGCAAAGUACUCUCCCCAGAGUGCAGAGAUGAAAAGAAAAAAAAAAUCAUGAAAAACAAAUAAUGAGGAAAAAUAUGCAGCUUUAGCUAAUUAAUGUUGAACACCAGGAUUAUGACUUGUAUAAAUGCAUUAAGAGCCACAGCAUAAUUUUUGAUGAGAGUGAGUAUGCAGUGCAACUUUAGGACAUUCCAUGUGGGACACAGUUUUAAAUAAUUGAAAUUCAUGUUUGCAUAAAUUAUUGUUUUAAACAGGGGCCACGUCCAUUGCAAAUGAUGAUUAGCAUUAAAACACAAGCUGGUGGAACAGAAAGCGGUCAUUAGCAAGUUUUUCUCACAGCUGUCAGAAACCUUCUGUCACCCUGUGCCAAGACAGCGUUCCGCCCACUGCUAUUUCACGCCAGGGACAGAGAGAGACAGAGAGAGAGAGAGUGAGAGAGAGAGGGAGAGAAGGAGAGCAUGCCGGGCGCCAGAAGCGGCAUCAACAAACAGGCGAAGCAGGCUGAGGAGGUGAAGGGUGCCAAUCCAUGAUUCUGUGAAUGGAAAGAUGGGGCAGAAUGCGGAAUGGAGAGUAGACGAAUGAGGUCAGCCCUCUGCGUUUGAAGCGACAAAUCGGCCGUCAGCGCGCAUGUCGGAUACCAGGCACCAUAGCGUUCUGUCUUUCUCUCUCUCUCUCUCUCUGCAGAUGUUCUCUCUACCUAUUCAGCAGAUCUCUCUGUAUGGUACCGGACCAAGGGAAGGAGUCAAGGGAAUAACCAGAAGUAUUACCCGCAGUUACGUAUAAGAUUCCUUUUACACUGAACCACUGCAGGAUUACAGCAUUCAGCGUUUGAACAGCAUUACAUGCUGGGAAAUUAAAUUUCAACAGUGUUCUGUUUUUCUGGACUCAAAUUUCAAAAUUGAUGUGCUACAAUGGAUCGAAAUGUUCAUAGAGCAUUCUCUGCUUGAGAGGAUGUUGCUUUUGAUGACAUCAGCCUGGUGUUUGAGCACAAGCUACGUUUGAGAUGAACUGACUGGACUAUGAUCAUGCUGGUUAGCCCAGAAAACUAAUCAUGGCUGUAGGGGAAGCAGAAGUUUCUGUGAAAAGCUCUGGAAUUACAGGAUAUGAAAAGGCUAUUUGAGCUGUGGAGUUUGCCUUCUAUUGCAUCAGCUUCCAUGCUGGAUUCAUGUAAAGCUUAUUAGGUAAACAAUCACAUUAGUUUCUUGUACUUUAUACUCACAAUUCAUUACCAAAUUACCUGGGUGGUGAGAAUUUGCAUUGGGAACCAAUUUACUGCACCUACACUGCAAGACUUUAUGCACAGAUCCAAAAUUUUUAAACACAUCUAAUUGUUUGUUCUAUCUGUUUUCAAUGACAUUUGUUCUUGCAAUAGCGAGUUUAUAUUUCAUAAUUCAG
ensembl:lncRNA